GUGCUCACUUUAGCAGCCCAUAUACAAAAAAUUGGGAUGAUAGAGACAUUAGUGUGGUCCCUGUGCAAGGUUGACCUGCAAAUUCGUGAGGCAUUCUGUAUGUUU
ensembl:snRNA U6 U6 spliceosomal RNA